rnacentral:rRNA from 1 species
AUUGAACGCUGGCGGCAGGCCUAACACAUGCAAGUCGAGCGGAUGAAGGGAGCUUGCUCCUGGAUUCAGCGGCGGACGGGUGAGUAAUGCCUAGGAAUCUGCCUGGUAGUGGGGGAUAACGUCCGGAAACGGGCGCUAAUACCGCAUACGCCCUGAGGGAGAAAGUGGGGGAUCUUCGGACCUCACGCUAUCAGAUGAGCCUAGGUCGGAUUAGCUAGUUGGUGGGGUAAAGGCCUACCAAGGCGACGAUCCGUAACUGGUCUGAGAGGAUGAUCAGUCACACUGGAACUGAGACACGGUCCAGACUCCUACGGGAGGCAGCAGUGGGGAAUAUUGGACAAAGGGCGAAAGCCUGAUCCAGCCAUGCCGCGUGUGUGAAGAAGGUCUUCGGAUUGUAAAGCACUUUAAGUUGGGAGGAAGGGCAGUAAGUUAAUACCUUGCUGUUUUGACGUUACCAACAGAAUAAGCACCGGCUAACUUCGUG